rnacentral:rRNA from 1 species
UACGUAGGGGGCGAGCGUUGUCCGGAUUUAUUGGGCGUAAAGAGCUCGUAGGCGGUUUGGCAAGUCGGGUGUGAAAACUCCGGGCUCAACUCGGAGACGCCACUCGAUACUGCCAUGACUCGAGUCCGGUAGGGGAGUGCGGAAUUCCUGGUGUAGCGGUGAAAUGCGCAGAUAUCAGGAGGAACACCAGUGGCGAAAGCGGCCACCUGGACUGUACCUGACGCUGACACGCGAAAGCUAGGGGAGCGAACGGG